UUACUGUUUGUAAAGUGAGGCGACACUGACACUGUUGAUUGCUACAGCUCUCGUAGCAGCUAGGUUUACUACAUGAGCAAGACAUCAUAUUUGUGGUCCGAAUCCAUCUGUGUCACGUACUGAAUUAACAAUAUCAGCAGCAUUAUCUAUAGUCACUGAUAUGGAUUGAUUUGGCCUUCUUAACUUCCAUUCAGUCAUGGUGCUUUAUAAUUCAUGUAGUAUAUGGACUACGUGUCCCAUAAUGACUCUGGGCUCACGUAGCCAUGGCACGGGACGUAGCACAUCUAGUUUGCUAGUUCAUGAUAUCUAGUGUGUGCGCGCAUAAAAAAGUUAGCAAACGCCACAUUCACGUCUGCUCAUUACUGCACAACAACACCAGCAUAUGACAAUCGACUUUCAUAAACAGGACGAGUUUGAAGCACAGCGCUCUUUAUUUACCACUCAAUGUUCCUCAUGUCAGCUGUCUGUUGUCAAACCGAGGUUGUUCGUAACAGCCAAGUCAGUAACAAUGUUUUGGUGGACUUCGUUGUAAAUAUCCGGUGUUAUGCCGAAAAAUAGCCGCCCCGCGUGAAAGGCCACCCCUGACGGGCGCGCCCACACGUCAACAACACCGGCACGGCAGAGAUGAUCCGCAGUCAAUCCAGAGCACUGACGCGGCCGGUAUACGUUGAACAAUAGGAUAUAAUGGGAACGAUUGGCUCCGGCGCUACUUUUUGCUGGAUCUGGAGCGAAGAUGCAUUUUGCGUAGUUGGUAACAAGGAAUCCGAACUUUUAACAGCAACAUCUGGCGCACCCACGCGCGCACACACGUGCACGGGAGGCAAUAAAUCGCAGCGGAAAAAUUACCGCCUUCAUUUUUAUUUAUCGUGCGAUAAAUGGAAUUAUUGCAUAUUGCGACAGGCUUACUUGCAGUCAUUGCAAGGUGGAGAUAACUGCAUCGGGAGGGAAUAGACUGCACUGUCCUCACUGAGACGCUAAGGCUCAGUCCUGGCUAUACAGCUAGCUAAACUCCCAAAUGACGAUGCAGAAGAUGUUGGUAUAAUUUGCUGACUUUAUUCAACCAUCACUUGAAGAGUGAAACUAAAAAUAGAAAUGAAACAAAUCAAUUUCGUCCCCAAUAACAAACAGGUUUGCAUCAACGUAAAUCAGCGAUAAUUAGCUGCUAAUACAGUAAUAACAAACAGUUAGCAUGCGUUCGCUAGCAUUAGCACAUCGUUCAAACCACUACACAACUGGAUUUAAGUGUCCGAUCGCGAGUGGAAACACACAACAACAACAACACAAAAGAUGAUACAUACAGGCGUUGCCUCUGUAGAUAUUUUACAAACAUUAACAAAGAACGUAGGCUCGUGGCAGUGUUUCCCUUUCUCACGAACUCGCUCACUCGCUUGGAUGCUGGACUACUUCGCGUGUAAGCGCGCUCUUCUUCACGUGAGCGCGUUCUUUUUCGCGUGAGGAAGUGCAAGGGCGCCCCCACUUGAGCGUGAAAGCUCCAUAAAAAAUAAAAGGCAUGCAUUUCAAUAUAAUGGUAAACUUUAACACAGGGGUCCCCAAACUACGGCCCGCGGCUCCACAUUUGGUCCGGCCCCCUGAACAAUACCAGAGAGGAUUUUUUUUUUUUUUUUUUUUUUCUCAGUAGUGUUAUGUAUUUCAUGGCCUUUUUCUGUGAAUAACUCAGAGAGGGUUAUUUGGUUAUUAUCUAUUUAAUUAAUAGUGCCAUUAAUAUUAUGGUAUAUUAUUAUUUUUAUUUUAUUUACUUUUGUUCCGUGAAGAAUCCACAGAGGGUUAUUUGAUUGUGACUUUCUGAAAAACAAUUUUUUUUUUUACAUUUAUGCACUCCUGCAAUCGUCAGAAGGGAAAAGUUAUGUGGCCCUCACAGGAAAAACUUUGGGGACCCCUGCUUUAACACAUAUUGCCAAAGGUAGAACAACGACCUAUAUGCCAAUAUAUACCAAUAUUUUUUAUUUUGCAUUUGCCACUUAUUGCCACAGUUAACAUUGAGGCUUUGGGCCUCUUUUGACCUCGUUGUGAGUUUGUAAGGUUGCGACUUCUGAUUAAACAAACUCGAUGCCAAUCAAAAUGUUUGUUCUUCUUUUCCCCCAAAUUAGAAUCGAUAAGAGAAUCGAUAAAGAAUCGACUCGUUAAGCAAUAUCGAUAAUGGAAUCGAAAUCGUAAAAAUCGUAUCAAUUCCCAUUCCUAAUAAAAAUAGAAAUAUAUUCUGGUUAUGGCCUCCAGUAACACGCCAAAUUUGAUUUUUAUUUUACUUAUUUUUAUCAUUUCAUUGGAUUUAACUCAUUGUCCGCUACUGACAACAAUAGACCCCUGAUUCAUUUCAACAUCUUUCAGUGCUGUUGACUGCCGUCACUGACAGCCAGUGAAUUCAAUGAGUGCCCUAUGAAUAUAAUCAUUUUCAUUCAUUUAGUUUACUAUCAAAUAUCUGAUAGGAUUCACGCAUGACUGGGUGCAAUUAGACACACUCAAGUAGAGAAACUAUCGGUGCCAGGAUUAGUGAUCAGUCAGCAUACAAUAGGAUGUCAACAUAUCCACACGUGGAAUGUUCCCUCUAAUUUUUCAUGUGUCUAAGCAGACACACAAGCUCCCUGAGCACACUGCGGACCACGGUGAGCAACAUCAGAUGUGUACCCUUGGGUACACACGCCUGUUCAAAACCCUGGAUCAUAGCAAUUACAUGGCUUAUCAAAAGAAUGAAACUACAGCAGCAAUUUUCAUUAGUUUACUUUUAAUAUAAUUGAUUUGGCCCGCAUAAAAAGAAAAAGAGAAAAAUUUCGUUGUUCAUGAGAUGUGUACUAUGUUAUAUGUGAGAGACCUGCUUUAACCAUAGGAAGAAUUCUGACCUGGGUAAGGUCCACUUGUGGCAUAGAUCAGGGGUCCCCAACCUUUUUUGCACCACGGAGCGGUGUGAUUUGGGUCGUUUUUUUUUCACGGAGCAGUGCUCUGUCAAAUUUUGCUCCCUUAUAAAAUUUUGCUCCCAAAACUUGUGUGGCGGUGAAAAAGCCCUUUUAUAUUCAGUUGGACUCUUUUCUACAUGUCCGUCCAUGAUCAAACAUAAGUUAGUAGUCCUUUCUUUAAAGAAAGUUUGUAGUGUUUACUUUGGAAUCGUUGAAUUCGUGACCAUUUUUAACGUUACGCAUGUGUCAGAACACCGGCAAUGUGCGGCAGAAAAAUACAGCAAAUAUCACAUAACAUUUGUUUUAGCCCCGUCGUGUAAGUGCAGGGAAAAUAUAACUCAGCUGCUGAAUCAGUGGGAGGCCUGAGCUUGUUUCGUUGAGACGAGAUGGUCCCAUCUAGGUGUGAUAGGAGAGUGAAAGACGCCCGCUUCACAAAGAUACAAUGUUGGAUAUUGUAGCACGGUUUUCAGUGCUCUCGUAGCGAUGUAAGGAUAUUCCGGAAUGACUUUAAUCCAGAACCUUGGUAGAGUUGUUAUCUCAAAUGCACAGUACAUUUAAGGUCCCCGUCAUUUGUGAUCUCUGCAAGCUGAUCCUCCUGUUGCACAGAUAUGCUCGAAUCACUCAAUUUAUUCACAAACUGGUCACAAAUCCACUCCUUUGCAGUUCGCAGGUCUGUCGUGAUUGGGAAGUACCGUAGAUUUUGUUUUCUUCGAAGUUGUAGGCUCAUCUUCUGGCUCGUUAGGUGCCCUUUUCCCCGUAAAAAAUCUGCCCAAAGACAUCUUUUUUUUCAGUCAUUCUAGUGUAGGGGCUAAUUAUGUCCAGGAACAAAUGUGAUGCGCCCGCCCUACGUCAUACGUUAUUAUCGAGGACAAGCGCACGUAGAUAUACAAAACAAGAUGUACUGCUAGCAGUCCAAUCAAUGGAUUUCUAUGACGACAUUCUAUCCUGUAGUAUUAUAUCUAGAGUAGACAGGGAUAUUGGAGUGUUAAUGGGCACAGGUCAAAGUUAAUUGGGCCACAAUGCAGUCAUUAAUAAAUUAUUAUUUCUGUGCAGCCCGGUAGCAAAUGCGCCACGGACAUGUACCAGUCUGCGGCCCGGCAGUUGGGGACCCCUGGCAUAGAUGACUUAAUAAAUAAAACAUAAUGAACAACCACAAUGGGAGUACAGUAAAAUAUACUCACACAUUAAAACUGUUCAGACAAUAAGGACAAUCAAGAUUCCUAUUGCAGCUUCACUGCAAAAACACGCCUCCUUAAAACUAGUAAACUUCCCUUAAGUGAAUAUAUUGUGACCGCACACGAGUUAGGCCUGGCCAGGAAGCAGCUUGAGACGCCAAGGUGUCCAACCAAACAGUUCUUUAAUCAGCAAAACCAGCGGGUUUCCUCAAAAGAAAAAGGCCCAAAUGUGGCACAAACAGUAACAAAGCAAACAAUCAACUAAAAUGUCUCAAAAAUGGCAACCUAGGUCUGUUCUCAUCAAAAUACUCAAAAUGUCUUACAAGUGGCAACUUAGGUCUGUUCUCAAAAUACUUUCUUCCAAGUCUCUCUGUCAAUCUCCUUACGCCUUCCCCUUUGCUUCAUCUGGUCGUCUUUUAUCUUGUCCUCCAGGCCAGCUGCAAUUAGGUGGCUUAAGCAGCCACACCUGGCUGCGUUGUGCGGCAUGCUGGGAAUUGUAGUCUUUAGGCUGGCGGCCAUUUUGACUUGAUUCUUCUGCUCUGGAAAAGGAAUGUAACGGCCCUCCACUACCUGUCCCCGCCUGAUGUCACACAUCCCCCUCCCCGGGCCUGACGUCCUCGGCAGGUCGACGGAAGCCCAAAAGGCAUCCCGGCGGGACAGGGCAUCAGCGUUUCCGUGUUUGCUCCCGGCCCUGUGCACAACAGAAAACAUGAAAGGCUGCAGGCUCAAGAACCAUCUCGUUACCCUGCUGUUGGUUUCCUUGUUCUUUGCCAUCCAUUGCAGCGGGGAAUGGUCCGUCACCAGCGUGAAUCUCCGACCCAACAAGUAGUAUUUCAGGGUCUCCAGCGCCCAUUUAAUGGCCAGGCACUCCUUCUCCACCGUGGCAUAAUUCUUCUCUCUUGGCAGCAGCUGCCGGCUCAAAUACAGGAUGGGAUGUUCCUCACCCCCACUGACCUGAGCCAGUACUGCUCCUAGUCCGGUCUCUGAGGCAUCUGCCUGCACCACGAAUUCCCUGGUGAAAUCUGGGGCCGUCAGAACCGGUGCGCUACACAGGGCUCUCUUGAGGUCAAUAAAUGCUGCUUCAGCUUUGGUGUUCCAGCUCACCAUCCGAGAGUGUCUCUUGGUGGUCAGCUCUGUAAGUGGGGCAGCUAUCAUAGCGAAAUUAGAGAUAAAUCGGCGGUAAUAAUUAGCCAACCCCAGGAACGAACGAACCUGUUUCUUGGUCACCGGUCUGGGCCAGCUCCGAAUGGCCUCAAGCUUGGCCUCCUGAGGCUUUACCAAACCUCGCCCAAUGGUAUACCCCAGAUAAUUAGUCUCACUACACGCCACCUUACAUUUCUUUGGGUUCGCAGUCAGCCCUGCUUGCCGGAGGGAGUCCAGGACCCUCUGCACCCGUGGAAGAUGACUUUCCCAGUCAGAGCUUUGGAUUACCACGUCAUCGAGGUAGGCUGCAGCAUAUUCUUGAUGAGGUCGCAGGACUUGAUCCAUCAGCCGCUGGAAAGUGGCCGGAGCGCCGAACAAGCCGAACGGCAUCAUUCGGUACUGCCAAAGGCCUCCCGGAGUGGCGAAGGCGGUCUUCUCCUUGGACUCUGCUGAAAGAAACGUAUGGUGUUAUCCGGUUUUCCAAUUAGCACUAUUGGGCUGGACCAGGCGCUUUUAGAUGGCUCGAUUACCUUCAUGUCUAGCAUCUUCUUCACUUCGUCCUCCACGAUUUGCUUGCGAGCCUCAGGUAUUCGGUACGGUUUCUGGUUUACCUUCUUCCCAGGCUGGGUGCGGAUUUCAUGUUCGAUGAGGUGCGUGCAGCCUGGCCUCGCCGAAAAUACAUCCUGGUUGCCAUCUACAAGCUCUUUUGCCUGCUGCAGUUGGUUGGGAUCCAGAUCGGGUCCAAACUGCACUUGUUCCCGAGCCGGGGUGUCCAGGUCUCUGGGGGGAAGGCAUGUGAACAAUACUUCUCUCUCGUGCCAUUUUUUCAGCAGAUUGACAUGGUAGAUUUGCUCACCUUUCCGCUUGCCCGGUUGUCUCACCUUGUAAUUAACCUCCCCCACUUUUUCAAUUAUUUCAAAGGGUCCCUGCCAGGUUGCCAAGAACUUGCAUUCUACCGUGGGGACCAGCACUAGUACUCGAUCCCCGGGCUGGAAUUCCCGCGGUUGAGCUGUCCGAUUGUACGUACCCCUCUGUUCUCUUUGGGCUUUUUCCAUGUGUUCUUUCACUAUGGGCAUAACGGCUGACAUCCUUUCCCUCAUGGCCCCUACAUGUUCCACCAUGGUUCGGUGGGGGCAGGGUUGCUCCUCCCAGGUCUCCUUGGCGAUAUCCAGCAGACCCCUGGGCUUGUGGGAAUAAAGUAGAUCGAAGGGUGAAAAGCCUGUCGACGAUUGAGGUACUUCUCUUACCGCAAACAGGAGAUAGGGAAGUAGCUGGUCCCAGUUCCGGCCGUCCUUGUCAAUGGCCUUCCGUAGCAUCGCCUUCAGAGUCUUGUUGAACCGUUCCACCAACCCGUCCGUUUGAGGGUGGUAGACAGAGGUCCUCAACUGUUUCACUCUUAACAGCGUACACAUCUCUCGGGUGACCCGAGCCAUAAAUGGGGUGCCCUGGUCCGUUAGAAUUUCUUUAGGAAGACCUACUCUGCUGCUGAAGAGGAAAAGUUCAUGAGCAAUGUGCUUAGCGUUGGCCUUUCGUAAUGGGAUGGCCUCUGGAUACCGGGUAGCAUAGUCUAUAAUUACAAGGAUGUACUGGUGGCCUCGCGCGCUCUUAGGGAGAGGCCCUACAAUGUCCAUUCCCACCCUUUCAAAUGGGGUUUCUAUGAUAGGCAACGGCACCAGGGGAUUCCGGUACCCUUGUUUGGGGGCUUUUAACUGGCACUCUGGGCAACUGCGGCAAUAAUUUUCUAUGUCCUUGUGAACACCUGGCCAAAAGAACCUUUGCAAUACUCGUUCUUUGGUUUUCUCCACCCCUAGAUGAGCCCCCAUUACGUGAGUAUGAGCUAACUGCAGAACAGUGGGGCGGUGCAUGCGAGGUACAAGCAAUUGUUCAACAAUUUUGUCUUUAACUUUCACCACUUGGUAUAAAAGCCCAUUUUUUACCGCAAAGUGGGGAUAGGCAGGAGUGGUUCGGUCCCCUACCAACGUUCCCUCUAUUACCUGAAGGUUUUUUAAAACAUUGCAAAACGUGGGUUCUUGUAAUUGAGCAGUGCCAUACUGACCCUUUAAGGAGGAUUCGGCCUCUGGGAUCGCUCGUUCCUCGUCACUGGAGGCAGACUGUGGACUUGAGGCAGUUGAGUCUUCUGGCCUGUAUCUUGAGCCCCGGUCUGCUGCGACAAAAGCCGGGGUGAUCUCCUUGCGAUGUCUUCGCUCGAGCCUCUUGUGGGCUUCCCGCCACAACUUAGGAAAGGCCGGGCAGUCCCGGCCAAUAAGGACAGGCACGGGAAGGGCCUUGACAACCCCCACUCGCACAUUGAACGUGCCCUUGGUAGUAGUGAGCCUCACCUCGGUGGUCGGAUAUUCGUGGGUGUCCCCAUGGACGCAGACAACUGGUACUUUUUCUCCUCGCUCCAGGUUGGGGGCCUCCAGGACCCACUCCUGAACCAGGGUCCUCGUGCUUCCUGAAUCCAACAGGGCUUCCACAUCCCGGCAGUUGACAGUGACUGGACACAUAGGCCGUGGGCUUUCACUUUCCCCCAGGAGGGCUGCAAACUGGGAGGGGGUGCUGCCAGAAGACUCUGCGGUAGGCAUGGGCACGUCAGACUUUCCACACUGCCACGAGAUAUGUCCUACCUCUCCGCAGCGGUAACACCGACGAGCCUCAGGAGCCAGGGCGCUUUUUGACGGCUCUAGUGUAGGCAGUCCUCGUCCCGGGUCUAUUGGAGGGGCCCGAUCACGAUUGGAGCUGCUGGUUCGCUGGGGAGUUGAGGCAGCAGGCUUACUACGGGGCUGUCGAAGCAUGUCCGCAGCAGCGUGAAAUUGUUCGACCGCCUCAGUUAGCUCUAGGGUCGUUGUGAAUUUCUGCUGACUAACUGCCUUCUUGGCGUCGAACGGCAGGGCUCGUAAGUAGCGGUCAAUCACCAGAGUCUCUACCAUUUCUGCUGGGGUCUUUUUGUCAGGCUCCAACCACUUCUUGGUUAUUCUAAUCAACUCGUGCAUCUGGGAGCGGGGGUUGAGCCCAUUUUGAAAGGUCCAGCUAUGAAACCGCUGGGCCAUGCCAAACCUUGUAAGGCCAUGGCGGCUCAAUAUUUCGGCCUUUAGCUGGUCAUAAUCUUGUGCACUUUCUGGCUCUAAAUCUCGAUAGGCGUUCAGUGCCUCCCCCGAGAGAAAAGGGGCUAAUAGGUUACCCCACUGGGGUUUCGGCCAUCGCUCUUGAACAGCAGUGGAUUCAAAAGCAUGGAGGUAGGCCUCCACAUCAUCAGACACUGACAUUUUGGGAAUGAAUUCACUUGCCUUGGGUUUAGCUCGGGCCAAUUGGUGAAGCUCUUGCUCUUUAAGCUGGUUGGCCCUCAUUUGCUGUUGAAGCAAGGCCACCUGGGUUUCUUGUUGUGCCUUCUGGGCCUCCAAGAGCAUCUGCAUUAACCGCUCCAUUCCGCUGGGCUGUUGGUUGGUGUGAAGCUGGGAGAAAAGCUGGGAUAACUCGUCUAUGGCGUCCGUCUCUGUAGUCUGGUCCUAGGCCCACAUGCCCUCAUUCUCCACCAUCUGUGACCGCACACGAGUUAGGCCUGGCCAGGAAGCAGCUUGAGACGCCAAGGUGUCCAACCAAACAGUUCUUUAAUCAGCAAAACCAGCGGGUUUCCCCAAAAGAAAAAGGCCCAAAUGUGGCACAAACAGUAACAAAGCAAACAAUCAACUAAAAUGUCUCAAAAAUGGCAACCUAGGUCUGUUCUCAUCAAAAUACUCAAAAUGUCUUACAAGUGGCAACUUAGGUCUGUUCUCAAAAUACUUUCUUCCAAGUCUCUCUGUCAAUCUCCUUACGCCUUCCCCUUUGCUUCAUCUGGUCGUCUUUUAUCUUGUCCUCCAGGCCAGCUGCAAUUAGGUGGCUUAAGCAGCCACACCUGGCUGCGUUGUGCGGCAUGCUGGGAAUUGUAGUCUUUAGGCUGGUGGCCAUUUUGACUUGAUUCUUCUGCUCUGGAAAAGGAAUGUAACGGCCCUCCACUACCUGUCCCCGCCUGAUGUCACAAUAUAUAUAGUCUUAAAAUAAGCUUGUUUGUCAGAAAUUCAAGAAUAGAUAUUGUUCAAAACAUUAUUUGAAAGCAAACUUGGAACAAGGAUGGACUUUUACGGAAAGUGAAACUAUCCUUUGGGAUAAAAGACUGAAUUGCAAAGGGCAAUACCACUUUUGGUAUUGACCGCAAACCUUCUGUUGUAGAGCAUCCUAUAUAAAAGCUAAUUCUUGUGUUGGAAUGUUUGAAAGCUUACUGAAUUGUGGUUAUUUCAUUGUUGAAAAUUACUCAUUUUUUUGUUGUUAAUAGUAUGCAUACUUUUGGUGGGAGUGUAAAUAACCAAAGCCUAAUUUCUGUCUCCCGAGCAUAUUUUAUUUUGUAAUUCACCAUAACUUCCUGUUACGCUUUUAUUUUGGUGUAUUUCUUGUUCCGUGUGUUUUGCAAUGUUGUAACUUGAAGGCGGGCCAAAAUGAGUGACGGCUAACUGUGACAGUUUUGAUCUAGUCUCGUGGCCCCUCUGGAAGAGGCAAAGCUCUUAUGGUGAUCCUUUUAUUUUCUAAGGUGAUCGGUUGGUUUGAUUAACUAGAUUAUAUCAGUUCCAAAAUUAGAUAUUAAUUUAUACUGUAGCGCUUGCAAAGAUUGGCAUUAUUAGCACAGGAGUCUAGCUCUCUUUUCACCAUUAAUGGAAGCGCCGCGUUGCCGUUUCGAACGCACCAAUAGGAGUGUCGCGCUGACACAUUACAGUGGCGCGGACAGUUGUCCGAGUCGCGCUGCCGUAUCGAACGCGACAAUAGGAGCGUCGCAUCGCUGUAUCGAACACACCAUUACUGUGGCGCACAGUAGUAGUGACGCAACAUUACGUUUAUGUUGAAUUUUAUUUUGUGCGCUGCAUAGAUUUUCUUGUGCGCAGAGUAUGUUCAAGCAGUGCGCGAUUGCGCACGCGCACAGCUGAGAGGGAACAUUGCACACGGGAUUCACAUAAUACUGGGUUUCACACCUCAAAUUGCUUAAUUUGUAUACGCUCCACUCCUCUCAAUCACAUAUCUGUCUGCCCCCCCCCCUCCUUUUUCACCCCUUGGUAAAAAAAAAAAAACAGAAAAUCACAUUGUUUGAUUUUUAAAGAAUGUGUUUCCAAAUUAGAGUGGAAAAUAAGUAUUUGGUCACCUACAAACAAGCAAGAUUUCUGGCUGUCAAAGAGGUCUAACUUCUGUUAACGAGGUCUAACGAGGCUCAACUCGUUACCUGUAUUAAUGGCACCUGUUUUAACUCAUUAUCGGUAUAAAAGACACCUGUCCACAAACUCAGUCAGUCACACUCCAAACUCCACUAUGGCCAAGACCAAAGAGCUGUCGAAGGACACCAGAGACAAAAUUGUAGACCUGCGACUUCCGGUGGAGAGGAGAAUGGAGUAGGUCGUAGGCGUUGAACGCUCCCGCUCCGAACUGACAUUUCAACUACCUUUUCACAACCCAUGCCUGCUCAAACACUGAGUAAUCAGCAGUGGUCACUUUCUGACGUACCUGAUGGCAUCUGGGACCAGACAAGCGAGGGAAAAAGACACGAGGAAGGAGGACCCAUCCACCGCUAGCCACAUUAGCAUGUCGGCGUUGACUAGCUUGCUGGAAGACCAUAGACAAUCCAUUGCGGCCGCGAUGUCGGCAGAACUCAAGUCCGCAUUUUCCUCCCUCGACGCCAAACUAGACUCCCUACAGUUAACCGUGAAUGACUUUGGCGAGCGAAUCACUAUCCUGGAGAGCAAUUUUGGCCUAGCCGAAGAACGCAUCCACACUCUGGAAGUUUCAUGCGCCUCGCUAGCCGACACUUGCAUAAAACUUAAAGCCCGGAACGCAGACUUGGAGGCACGAAGCAGGCGAAACAACAUCCGGAUCAUCGGUCUGCCAGAAUCAGUGGAAGGUCCAAAACCCACGGAGUUCUUCGCACAAGCCCUGAAGGAGAUUUUCGGGGUACAGCUGCUCCCGUCCUCGCCGGAAUUGGACCGGGCUCACCGCACCUUCGCUCCAAUGCCGAAACAAGGGGACAGACCGAGACCCGUGAUCGUGAGCUUCCUUCGAUAUCAGACUAAGGAGCUGAUCGUUCGAGAAGCCCGGCGACGGAGGAACACGUUGAGGUAUCGUGACUCGCCGAUUCGGAUUUAUGAAGACUAUUCGCCCGACGUCUUGGUGCAACGUUCGGCCUAUCGAGAAAUAAUGGCGAAACUGUACGACUUGGGCCUCAGGCCAGCUCUACUCUACCCGGCGAAGCUACAAAUCGUCAAGAAAGACGGUAAUAGACGGCGAUUUUCCUCCCUCGAAGAGGCUACUGCCUUCCUGAAAUCCUUGACCUCUGUUUAAAUAUAUUUGUUUCCCUCGUUUUCGGACUGGAUGGCCUUUGCUAGGCUUGGACUGCUAGAGUGGUAUGCUUUCAAGAUAGCACCCUGUUAACAUUGGGGUUAACUAUUUUUCUUCUAUUUUUUACUCUAACACACAGCGGGAAAUAACUAUAGAGAGUGAUUUUUUUUUUCCCCCCCUCGAUCUCGUCUUGUGAAAUUUCGUGCAUGGUACAACUUUUUUGGACUGGUUCUCGUUUCCUUGCUCGAUCCUUGCUGUUUACUUUAAGAUUUAAUAUAUUUUUUUAUUAUUAUCCCCCCCCCCCCCUCUCCUUUUAAAAAGACGAGGGGACAGGAAGGGUAAGAAGAAGAGGAGGGAAAGGAGAAAAAAAAAAAAAAUUAAAAAGAAAAAUAAAAUAAAUAAAUAAAAAUCAUUUUUGACAAAACUAUUACUGAGGGAGGGCACCAUGUUGAGAACCAGGGUUAACCUUACGUCCGGCGGGAGCGUUAUUGGUAUGGGAACUAAUGAGUACAGUAGAAACUGGAGGCUAUAUAGAUGUAUGUUUGAUGUUUGGUGUUGCAGUAAUUUUUUUAUUUUUUAUUUUUGUUUCAUUUCGGUUUUGUCUUGUUUUGGGUUUUUCUUUCAUUAGUUUUGUGUGCCCCCCCUCCCCUCCCCACCUGUGCAGGGCAAUGUGGCUUUGUUUAUUUCAAUAACUUAUUAAUAUGUCCAUCAUUCCUACAUAUAAAAGUAAGGGCUGCAGGUUUGUGUCUUGGAAUGUUAGAGGCAUUAAUGAUACCAUAAAAAGGGGCAAAGUUCUCUCACACUUAAAACAGCUAAGUGGAGAUAUUUAUUUUAUUCAAGAAACUCAUCUUAAAGCAUCUGAAGUUUCCCGUCUUAAGAAACCAUGGAUGAAGUACGUGUAUCACUCAAAGUUUUCGGCGAGGUCAAGAGGUACAGCCAUUAUUAUUGGUAAAAAUAUUCCCUUUGAGCCCAAAAAGUUAACCGAAGAUCCAAAUGGUCGAUUUGUUGCAGUAUCUGGCAGGCUAUUUGACAUCCCGGUAGUUUUGGUGAGUGUCUAUGCACCAGUAUGGGACGAUGCCCAGUUCAUAAUACGUCUGUUUUCCUCCUUGCCCGAUAUAGAGUUUUGCUACCCUAUUAUAGGUGGUGAUUUUAACCUUAUUCAGGAUCCGAUUUUGGAUAGGUCUUCAUCCAGACCCCUCACUCUAUCUAAAUCUGCUACUACAUUAAAAGCGUUUGCAGAUCAGCUUGGACUCAGUGACCCCUGGAGACAUCUUAACCAAUCUGACAAAGUUUUUUCAUUUUUUUCCCACGUCCAUCACACUUACUCUAGAAUUGACUUUUUCUUAAUGGACAACAGAUUGUUGGACUGGGUAAACCUGAGCAACUAUCACAGUAUAGUUGUUUCAGAUCACGCACCGCUUUCACUGGAUAUACAUUUUCCAAAUUACACACCUCCAUGUACGCAAUGGAAACUUUCCUAUUUUCUAUUAAAUAACUCACAAUUCAAACAAUUUUUUCAGCAAGAAAUUACAACUUUUUUUGACAUUAAUGAUACUCCUGAGGUCUCCAGAGGCAAUCUAUGGGAAGCCUGCAAGGCGUAUUUGAGGGGACAAGCGAUUUCAUUUGCAUCCUAUCAGAAGAAGACCGACACAGCUAGGAUGACUUGGCUUGCUAAUCAGAUACUAAAAAUUGACGCACAAUAUUCUGUUGCCCCCACUAAUGUUCUUUAUGAUGAACGUCUUAAAUUGCAAGCUGAGUAUGAUUUACUGUCAACAGCAAAGGUUGAAAUUAAAUUGUUACACUCUAGACAGCGUUAUUUCGAACAGGGCGAUAAGGCAGGUAAACUCCUUGCUCAUCAAGCUAGAUCAGUUGCCCUUUCAAAACUGAUACCAAGAAUAAAAUCAAUCUCUGGGUCAAUAGUGUCAGAUCCCAAUCUCGUGAACAAAACUUUUGAAAAUUUUUAUAUAGAUCUGUAUACGUCUGACCACUCACCGGAGGUCUGGGAUGGGGAUAACCCGCUGGAGAGGCUUACUUACCCUAGAAUGAAUGCUGAGUUGGUUGGCGGAAUGGGCGGGCCGAUUUUACUACUGGAAGUACAAGAUGCACUUAGCCAACUACAGAAGGGGAAAUCCCCUGGCCCAGAUGGAUUUGGGGUGGAAUUCUACAAAACCUACUCAGAUGUAAUUUGUCCACAACUGGUCAAGGUCUACAACGACGCCUUUUUUACUGGUAAACUACCCUCGACUUUCUAUGAGGCAAACAUUUCCCUUCUAUUAAAAAAGGGAAAAGACCCAGUUGAGUGUGGUAGCUAUAGGCCCAUAAGCCUUUUAAACGUGGAUCAGAAGAUACUCGCUAAGGUCCUAGCAACGCGUCUACAGCAAGCCCUCCCUACUCUCAUCGCUGCUGACCAGACAGGGUUCAUGGCCGGCCGAGACUCGUCGUUUAAUACAAGGAGACUUAUUAACAUUAUUGGCUCUCCUGGUUCUGAGGUACCUGAAGUUGUGAUCUCAUUGGAUGCUGAAAAAGCAUUUGACAGGGUUGAAUGGAAGUAUUUGUUUUAUAUUUUAGCAAAGUUUGGUUUUAGUGAUGAUUUUAUUAAAUGGAUCAAAAUGCUUUAUCAGUGUCCAACUGCUCAGGUCCUUACAAACGGGGUACGGUCAGCUUCAUUCCCUCUUCAUCGGGGCACCAGGCAGGGUUGCCCCCUUUCUCCCCUCCUUUUUACUCUGGCAGUGGAACCACUGGCUAUGUGGUUUCGUGAAGAAGCACGAGUAAUGGGCAUCACGAGGAAUGAUGUCACCCAUAAAUUAUCUCUUUAUGCGGAUGAUUUGUUACUAUAUUUGUCAAACCCAGUUUCUUCCAUCCCGAUCGUCAUUUACAUUUUAACACAGUUUGGCAAAUAUUCCGGAUACAAAUUAAACUUUGGAAAAAGUGAACUUCUGCCAAUUAACACCCUAUCAAGAAUGAUACCAGCAUCCUCUUUUCCAUUCAAAGUUACAGCUGAGGGGUUUCGAUACCUGGGUGUUUUCAUCCCUGCUUCCUUUGCUGACCUUUUCAAGAGUAAUUUUCAUCCAUUAAUUGAUAAAUGCAAGCUCGACAUGACACGCUGGUCACUGCUUCCACUGUCGCUGACUGGCAGAGUUAAUUUGGUUAAAAUGGUUUUACUCCCUAAAUUUCUCUACCUGUUUCAACACAUCCCGAUUUUUUUAAGGAAAUCCUUUUUUCACAAUCUAGACAAAUUAAUCUCUGCUUUCUUAUGGCCAGAUAAGCGCCCCCGGAUCAAUAAAACAAUUAUGCGGUUGCCCAAGAACCAGGGAGGCCUCGCUCUUCCGAAUUUCAUUCUUUAUUACUGGGCAUGUAAUAUUGUCAAAAUAAAUAAUUGGCUACUGGGAGACAUAGACCUCUGCCCUUCAUGGGCUAGGCUUGAGUUAAGAUCCUCCAGGUUGUCACUGAAGUCUCUUCUUACUGCAAAGCUUCCUCUAAAGACUGCCCAUCUCUCCCAAAACCUUGUUGCCAUAAAUUCAUUAAAAAUUUGGAUUCAGUUUCGUAAAAACUAUGGCUUAGCGGGUCCUUCAAUUCUUGCACCAAUAGCAAAAAAUCAUUUAUUUCCUCCAUCUAACUUCGACUCCACCUUCGUAACCUGGCACAAUAGAGGCCUGAAAAAUAUUCAGGACCUAUACCUUGAUGGGCGCCUAAUGAAUUUCGAAGAGCUAUCGAAGAAAUUCAGUCUACCUCAAUCCCAUUUCUACCGGUUUUUACAAAUUAGGCACUUCAUUCAAUCUACUUAUCCAAAUUUUCCCAAUCGGCCACCAACCUCCUUGAUUGAUUCCGUGCUCAACCUAGACCAUGCCCAUAAACAAACCAUUUCAUCCAUCUAUAAUUUCUCAGCUUGUCAGAGCCCCUUAUAUUCUCACUCCUUAAAACACAAGUGGGAGAACGAGAUUGGGACUGAAAUAUCGGACAGUCGCUGGAAGCAGAUUUGUAAGCUGGUCCACUCCUCCUCCAUUUGUGCCAGACAUGGUCUAUUGCAAUGCAAAAUCGUUUUUAGAGUACAUUACACCAAUGCUCGACUUGCAAAAAUUUACCCCACUAUCAUUGAUAGCUGCAAUAGAUGUAAACAAUCACCCGCUGAUCACACACAUAUGUUUUGGUCUUGUCCUAACCUCACUAAUUUUUGGCGGCAGAUCUUCAACACACUGGAAACCGUAUCUGGCACAGAUCUGGGGGAGGACCCAUGCAUAGCACUUUUUGGUUGCCCUCCUCCAUUACCCGUUUUAUCAGCACCUGACCUGCACCAGGCUGGGAAGACUGAAUCUGCAAUAGGUUAAAGGAUCACGUGAAUGACAAGACAAAACUCCCCAUAUUGAUAUUUCCAGAGGGAACCUGCAUUAAUAACACGUCAGUCAUGAUGUUUAAGAAGGGAAGUUUUGAAAUAGGAGCAACAAUUUACCCCGUGGC